rnacentral:rRNA from 1 species
GCGAAAACUUUACCAUGCGGGCAACCGUGAUAAGGAAACCCCGAGUGCCAGCAUAGGCUGGCUGUCCGCCAGUUUAAAAAACUGGUGAAGAAAGGGCCGGGCAAGACCGGUGCCAGCCGCCGCGGUAAUACCGGCGGCUCGAGUGGUGGCCACUAUUACUGGGCUUAAAGGGUCCGUAGCUUGAUAUGCAAGUCUCUUGAGAAAUCCGCCAGCUUAACUGGCGGGCGUUCAGGGGAAACUGCAUUUCUAGGGACCGGGAGAGGUGAGAGGUACUGCCGGGGUAGGAGUGAAAUCCUGUAAUCCCGGUGGGACCACCUAUAGCGAAGGCAUCUCACCAGAACGGGUCCGACAGUGAGGGACGAAAGCUGGGGGAGCAAACC